rnacentral:rRNA from 1 species
GUGCCAGCCGCCGCGGUAAUACGUAGGGUGCGAGCGUUAAUCGGAAUUACUGGGCGUAAAGCGUGCGCAGGCGGUUUUACAAGCUGGAUGUGAAAGCCCCGGGCUCAACCUGGGAGGUGCAUUCAGGACUGUGAAGCUCGAGUGCGGCAGAGGGAGGUGGAAUUCCAGGUGUAGCAGUGAAAUGCGUAGAGAUCUGGAGGAACACCGAUGGCGAAGGCAGCCUCCUGGGCCGACACUGACGCUCAUGCACGAAAGCGUGGGGAGCAAACAGGAUUAGAAACCCCCGUAGUCC